AAGGAGAGAGCCAGAGACCAAAUAGGGAGAAGGAGAGGCAGAAAGGGAAGCCUCUACAGAGGGAGAGAGGUGUGUGUACUAUCCUAAAAAGAAGGAAUAAAUGGAGAAGAAAAGAAAAAGAAAAUUUAGGAGAAGAAAGAAAGGAGAGAGGGAACUGUGUUUUGUCUUGGAGUAAAAGAAAGAAGAAGAUAUAUCAGUUGGACUUUAACCAUUAUUUGGCUAUAGUAUUUUAAAUUGGUUUUAUUGUUCAAAAACUGUAAUUGGACAUAUGUAUUGAAAGAAUUUGUAACUAUGAAUGGAAAAUGUUCAGGGUUAGAUUUAGUUGGACUCUUUAUAUGGAAUAGAACCCUAAGGCAUUGUUGCAUGCUUGUAUAGGUAGUAGUGCCCUGAAGUGAGUGAAACCCCAGCUGAAAUUUUCGAGUUAAUUGAUUGACAUUUGGAAAACUGCAUCAUCUAUGUGAUACUCAUGGUUCGGCUGAUGGCUAUGCCAAAGGUACAUGAGUCAUAUGAGUUUUCUUUGGUUGUCUUAAGUUUUGUUGAUGGCCAUGCCGAAGGUGGAGUGUUAAAUCAAUUCUGUAUUUUUUCCCACUUAGGUAUUUCUUGGAAAAAAUGGUGUUCGAGAUGCCAUUGGUAAGAAGAUGCCAAAAUUGAAAUUGACCUACAUAUUCAAUCACCUUCAUUUCAGAGUUGCAAAGGAAAAGCUUACUGAUUGGAUGUUUAUGACUAUAUCUACUAAGAACUGAGUCAACUUAGUACAGAAUUUGCUGUGGAUCACAUAAAAAUGAGAUUCACUGCCAUUGCAGUGAAUAUUAUAAGCUGAAUAUAGUGCAAAGGUUCCUCCCUUGUAUUCCUGACCAAUCCAGUGUCAUUUGUUGAAUCUUCUUCAGCUAUAUCUCAGUCAAUAAUUCUUCUCUUGCAGCAAAAACCCAACAAGUGAAUUAAAAAAAGAGGACAAAUUAUUAAAAAACAGAGGAAAGAAGUUUCGGUUGAAGGGGGAAACAGGAAUAGCAGCUGCACUUUCAGCUUAUUGUCAUGCAGAGCUUUCUAGCCGCUGGAAGUGCCUACCAUUGUUCAUAUAUUCCUGGGCUUGAUGUUGGGGUUGUCUCAUGUUCUGCAAUUCUUGUAUUUGUGGUCACUAGAUCUUUUGUGUGGGAAUUAAGGAGGUACCUUAACAAUUAUUAUUUUCCUUUCCAUGGAAAUUUAAUUUUCAUUUUAGUCUUUCAAUUCAAACACUAUAUAUUCCUUGUCAUAGUAGUGUUGGAAGGAAGGGGGCACACAAGAGUUAAGGCUGCCUAAGAGUCCUCUUUGAAGACUAAAGGUUAGGUGGUGAGACUUCUUUGGAGAUUUGCAUGUGGAUUGCGUAUGCGAGUUGGUUACUGACUAAACUCUCUCUCUCUUUCUGUUUCUAUAUAAAAGGUGGGGGAGUGAGAGGGUAAUGUAUAAAGGUAAAUAUAUUUCUGAUUCUCAAACCAUGAAGCAGUCUUCUUGUGAUAUCUCGUUUUUACUUUGGUCUUUGUGAGGACGAAAGAGGGGAGGAAAGAAGGAAGAGAAGGCGUUAUCUUGUAUUGGGUUGUGGCAUGACGGCGUUCUCUCUGUCAAGGAAAGAAAGAAAGGUACUGAGUUUUUUCUGUAUUUUUUAAUGACAUGUUUGAAGGUGACAGUACUAUAAUUUUGUAAAUCCACCUUUGUUUGGUGAGUUUCUUUGUAACCCAAGAUGUAAUUUUUUCUCUUGAUAUUUUGGUAGCCUCUAUAUUGUCUAGAGAGGAGAUCUUGUAUCCUCUUUACUAUUAUAGUGAAAGUUUUUACCUGGACGAGGUCCCGUGGUUUUUUCCCUUUCGUCUUGAAAGGGUUUUCCACGUUAAAAAUGGUGUGCAUUUGUAGAUUGAGUUGAUUUGUUUCGGCGUCAUUACUUUAUAUAUAUAUUUUUGUUAUCAUUGUGGAACUC